AUUGAACGCUGGCGGCAUGCCUUACACAUGCAAGUCGAACGGUAACAGGUCUUCGGAUGCUGACGAGUGGCGAACGGGUGAGUAAUACAUCGGAACGUGCCUAGUAGUGGGGGAUAACUACUCGAAAGAGUGGCUAAUACCGCAUGAGAUCUACGGAUGAAAGCAGGGGAUCGCAAGACCUUGUGCUACUAGAGCGGCCGAUGGCAGAUUAGGUAGUGGGUGGGAUAAAAGCUUACCAAGACGACGAUCUGUAGCUGGUCUGAGAGGACGAUCAGCCACACUGGGACUGAGACACGGCCCAGACUCCUACGGGAGGCAGCAGUGGGGAAUUUUGGACAAUGGGCGCAAGCCUGAUCCAGCAAUGCCGCGUGCAGGAUGAAGGCCUUCGGGUUGUAAACUGCUUUUGUACGGAACGAAAAGCCCUGGGUUAAUACCCUGGGGUCAUGACGGUACCGUAAGAAUAAGCACCGGCUAACUACGUGCCAGCAGCCGCCGUAAUAC
rnacentral:rRNA from 1 species